AUACAAAUCCGUUUGAUCUUUGCCAUAGUCACCGGACUCUAGCAUCCAAUCGUCUACGUAUUCGUAGAAAAAGUAAAUGUUGUGGAAUUUAACGCUUUAUUGCAUCACAUCCGACUAAAAAAAUGACCAGGGAAACAGAAGGCUGACAGACAUAUUCAUAGAAAAUAUGAAAAAGCCCUGCCUGUUGCCGUGUUGGAACUUGUAUUGACCUGUAUGAGCAUCAUACUGUGCAAAUCACCUAAAGAUGGAGUUGACCAAGUUGCUGACUUUGAGGAGAACUUGAAGAGCAGAAGAUGCAUUCCAUGACUCUUAUGUGGUAUAGAAGACAAAGAAGAGCUCUUGAGAAUGGAAAAAAACCUGCGAGUUUUACAGUCAAUGAACACACCUCACGACACAAGUCCAUCCUGAUUCAAUAAACUAUUCUUCUAAGGAAACACCAUGACUUAGUUAAGAUCAAGUUUUGGUGUCAGAAGACUAAUGUAACUAAAACAUUGCAAAAUUAACCUGCAAGUGUCUUAUGUGAGCCUAAUGAAUAAGGAUUCAUUACUGAACAGUUGAAGGAAAAUCACUAUUAUAAUGAUUUAAAAAAAAAAAAGAUGAUUGUGUUGUUUGGAUAACAUUGUGAUCCAUGUUUGUUGAAUAAACAACUUUGCAAAAAUGAGUUGUUCUGUGUUAAUAUUAUAAAUUUACUAAUUACUGGUAUGUCAACAUAGAUUACAGUAACACUGAACAAACUUCAAUAAAUUUUAAAGUUUCAUGCAGUUUCUGCAGUAGAAAAUGACACCUAUUGAUUUUCUGGUCCAAAGGUCACCAGGUGCAAUACAAUACUCUGUACAAUUGAUGUCUGACCAGUUUCUU